GCUAGGUGCUGACGAGUGGCGGACGGGUGAGUAACGCGUAGGAAUCUGCCCUAUAGUGGGGGAUAACACUGGGAAACUAGUGCUAAUACCGCAUAAUCCCUGAGGGGGAAAGGCUUCGGCCGCUAUUGGAUGAGCCUGCGUCAGAUUAGCUAGUUGGUGGGGUAAAGGCCUACCAAGGCGAAGAUCUGUAGCUGUUCUGAGAGGAAGAUCAGCCACACUGGGACUGAGACACGGCCCAGACUCCUACGGGAGGCAGCAGUGGGGAAUAUUGGACAAUGGGCGCAAGCCUGAUCCAGCAAUGCCGCGUGUGUGAAGAAGGCCUUAGGGUUGUAAAGCACUUUCAGGGGGGAGGAAAGGCACGUAAGUGUUUUGACGUUACCCUCAGAAGAAGCACCGGCUAACUCUGUGCCAGCAGCCGCGGUAAUACAGAGGGUGCGAGCGUUAAUCGGAAUGACUGGGCGUAAAGCGCGCGUAGGCGGUUAUAUAAGUUGGGUGUGAAAUCCCUGGGCUCAACCUAGGAAUUGCAUUCAAAACUGUAUGACUUGAGUGAAGUAGAGGUGAGUGGAAUUUCCGGAGUAGCGGUGAAAUGCGUAGAUAUCGGAAGGAACACCAGUGG
rnacentral:rRNA from 1 species